CAGCCGCCACGGUAAUACGGAGGGGGCUAGCGUUGUUCGGAAUUACUGGGCGUAAAGCGCACGUAGGCGGCUUGGUAAGUUUGGUGUGAAAUCUUCGGGCUCAACUCGAAGUCUGCAUCGAAAACUGCCGGGCUUGAGUAUGGGAGAGGUGAGUGGAAUUUCCGGUGUAGCGGUGAAAUGCGUAGAUAUCGGAAGGAACACCUGUGGCGAAAGCGGCUCACUGGACCAUAACUGACGCUGAUGCACGAAAGCUAGGGGAGCAAACAGGAUUAGAUACCCGAGUAGUCCCUGUCUCUUAUAC
rnacentral:rRNA from 1 species